CAAAUUGGAGCUUGAAUAAGCAUUUUAUUUACAUUAAAAUGAUAAUUAUUAUUAAUUUAAUUUGA
rnacentral:tRNA from 1 species